UUAGGGAGCGAAGCAAUUGGAAGUGGUUCCAAGAAAAGCCUCUAAGCUUCAGUCUAACGAUGACCGUACCGCAAACCGACACAGGUGGGCGAGAUGAGUAUUCUAAGGCGCUUGAGAGAACUCGGGAGAAGGAACUCGGCAAAUUGGUACCGUAACUUCGGGAUAAGGUACGCCCUUGUAGCUUGACUGGCCUGCGCCAGGAGGGUGAAGGGGUUGCAAUAAACUGGUGGCUGCGACUGUUUAAUAAAAACACAGCACUCUGCAAACACGAAAGUGGACGUAUAGGGUGUGACGCCUGCCCGGUGCCGGAAGAUUAAAUGAUGGGGUGCAAGCUCUUGAUUGAAGUCCCGGUAAACGGCGGCCGUAACUAUAACGGUCCUAAGGUAGCGAAAUUCCUUGUCGGGUAAGUUCCGACCUGCACGAAUGGCGUAACGAUGGCCACACUGUCUCCUCCCGAGACUCAGCGAAGUUGAAGUGUUUGUGAUGAUGCAAUCUACCCGCGGCUAGACGGAAAGACCCCAUGAACCUUUACUGUAGCUUUGCAUUGGACUUUGAACCGAUCUGUGUAGGAUAGGUGGGAGGCUAUGAAACCGGAACGCUAGUUUCGGUGGAGCCGUCCUUGAAAUACCACCCUGGUUUGUUUGAGGUUCUAACCUUGGCCCGUGAUCCGGGUCGGGGACAGUGCAUGGUAGGCAGUUUGACUGGGGCGGUCUCCUCCCAAAGCGUAACGGAGGAGUACGAAGGUACGCUAGGUACGGUCGGAAAUCGUGCUGAUAGUGCAAUGGCAUAAGCGUGCUUAACUGCGAGACCGACAAGUCGAGCAGGUGCGAAAGCAGGUCAUAGUGAUCCGGUGGUUCUGUAUGGAAGGGCCAUCGCUCAACGGAUAAAAGGUACUCUGGGGAUAACAGGCUGAUACCGCCCAAGAGUUCAUAUCGACGGCGGUGUUUGGCACCUCGAUGUCGGCUCAUCUCAUCCUGGGGCUGUAGCCGGUCCCAAGGGUAUGGCUGUUCGCCAUUUAAAGAGGUACGUGAGCUGGGUUUAAAACGUCGUGAGACAGUUUGGUCCCUAUCUGCCGUGGGCGUUGGAUAUUUGAAGGGGGCUGCUCCUAGUACGAGAGGACCGGAGUGGACGAACCUCUGGUGUACCGGUUGUCACGCCAGUGGCAUCGCCGGGUAGCUAUGUUCGGAAGAGAUAACCGCUGAAAGCAUCUAAGCGGGAAACUCGCCUUAAGAUGAGAUAUCCCUGGGGACUAGAUCCCCUUGAAGGGUCGUUCGAGACCAGGACGUUGAUAGGUCAGGUGUGUAAGCGCAGUAAUGCGUUCAGCUAACUGAUACUAAUUGCCCGUAAGGCUUGAUCC
rnacentral:rRNA from 2 species